rnacentral:rRNA from 1 species
CCUACGGGUGGCUGCAGUCGAGAAUCUUUCACAAUGGGGGAAACCCUGAUGGUGCGACGCCGCGUGGGGGAAUGAAGGUCUUCGGAUUGUAAACCCCUGUUAUGUGGGAGCAAAUUAAAAAGAUCGUACCACAAGAGGAAGAGACGGCUAACUCUGUGCGAGAAGCCGCGGUAAUACAGAGGUGUCAAGCGGUGCUCGGAAUCACUGGGCUUAAAGCGUGCGUAGGCUGUUUCGUAAGUCGUGUGUGAAAGGCGCGGGCUCAACCCGCGGACGGCACAUGAUACUGCGAGACUAGAGUAAUGGAGGGGGAACCGGAAUGCUCGGUGUAGCAGUGAAAUGCGUAGAGAUCGAGAGGAACACUCGUGGCGAAGGCAGGUUCCUGGACAUUAACUGACGCUGAGGCACGAAGGCCAGGGGAGCGAAAGGGAUUAGAUACCCCUGUAGUC